UGGAGAGGGCAAGGGAGCUCCGCAUUGUGGCUGGAGAUGGCCCCGGCGGCAUGCGGUGUCGUUGACGGAGCCCUGUCUCGCUGCUUGCGGUGGCUGGCAUUGUCAGCGGUGGUGUGGGCACAGCGAAAGGGGAAAGUUUUCUCCUCGGCAGGUAGUGGCUCCAGCGACGAUGGCGUCGUCGGCGAGAGGGAGCGGCUCACAAGGGUUGAUUCCGGCGGUGCGUUGGCAGCCGGCGCUGUUGACGAUACCUCGAGGUGCGGCUUGCAGUGGCUGAGAUGGUGGUCGGCUCGUGCUCGCACCGGAGAGAAGGCAAUGCCUCUGCAUUUUCGUGGUUCUCAAAUGGGAGGCCUCCUCUUGGUUUGGGGGUGGAAGAAACCCUAAUGGGUUCUGACUAAGGGGCAUUGGGCCUGCUUAAAAAAAAAAUAAUAGUAAUAAUGAUAAUAAUAAACAGACAUCUCUGCCGCACCCCCUUUUGCCUCCAAGUGCACCCCUUUUCCCUCUUGCAGCCCCCUGUUUUAUUUGCACACCCUUUGUUCAUUUGGGCUCUGGCCCAAUCUGGUUACAAACAACAAUUCCUUCUUGCCACCUCCUGUUCGCUAUUCACACCACCUGUCCCUUUCUGCAAACAAAAGAAGAUUGGGCCUGACCAGCAACUACUACAUGCCACCCCCUAACAGACUACAAGGCCAGAAGCUUCAAUAUUUUUCAACACCACCGGUUUUAAUCUCUGCACCCCUAUUCUUAUUGGGCUUGGACUGUG
rnacentral:lncRNA from 1 species